ensembl:lncRNA
CACGCCUCCCUCAUGGCCCAGUUCUCCUGUUCCCUGAAGCCAGGCCUGUUUCUCUCGGAUCUCACUCUGAGCCCCGUCGAGCUUAUUCUCGUGACCGUGGCCAUGAAAGUUUCGAUGUCCUCUGCCUCCCUCUGAUCUUUGCUGCAAACCAGGACGAUGUAGGCUGUCUGGCGAUGCACCACGUUGCUAACUUGCCUUCAGGCCAGCUGGCUCAGACGGUUAAGAAUCUGCCCGCCAUCAAGGAGACCCAGGUUCAAUCCCCAGGUCGGGAAGAUGCCCUGGAGAAGGGAAUGUCUACCAACUCCAGUAUUCUUGCCUGGAGAAUCCCAUGGACAGAAGAACCUGGCAGGCUACAUACAGUCCAUGGGGUCACAAAGAGUUGGACACAACUGAGUGACUACACUUUUACUUUCACUUGGCCUUCCAGGUGAUGCUAGUGGUAAAGAACGUACCUGCCAAUGCAGGAGACAUAGAGACUCAAGAUCAUUAAGUUAAAACAGCGUUUAACAUCACAUGUAUCCCUGUAAUAAAAUCCUACUGGAAUCCUGUUCUCUAUUUGAAAAUCUGGGGACUUCCUCUGCACUCUCAACACAAGGGGUUAGAGUUCAAUUCCUGACUGGGGAGCUAGAUCCCACAUGCCUCAACUAAAGGUCCUACACGCUGCAACGAAGAUUGAAGGUCCCAAGUGCCAUAACUAAGAUUUGGCACAGCCAAAUAAAUAUUUUUAAAAAGAAAAGAAAGAAAGAAAAACUGUGAAGUAAAAAGGAUGUAAGAGACAAAUCAUAGAAUGGUGCCGUCGCUGAGAGAAUGGAUUAGGGUCGUCUGAUCUGGGUUUAAACCCAGGCUGUGACACCCUCUGGUGACCCUGGACGAGUGAGGUAACCUGUCUGUGGGUGAUGAGACUGGCUCCCUCCUGGCCAUGUCGUGAGAAACACUCACACAAGGGCCUGGGACAGUGACAGCCACUUGGGACAAAGAGAGCUUGUGAGUAUGAUGGCUAAACAAAGGUUCUUUUGGAAACUUCACUGGGUGAGGGGAGAGGAAGAGGCAGGGGAGAGAGAGAGAGAGGGAGAGACAGCAAAGCUGUUUACACCUACUUUGAAAUGGUAUCUAGCAAUGGACAGGCAAACCGGUUCUGAUGAAACAUUGCUGUAAACACUAUAUGAUAUUAAACAUCUCUUUCCAAGUGUGGGCUUGUGGCGUAGUUGACAGAUAGCACGUUGUUUUCCUCUCUAAAAAGAAUAUAUUCUAUUUGGUUGGCCAAAAAUUCGUUCAGAUUUCUGCAUAAGAUGCUCUGAAAUACCCACACUGAAACUUUUGGCCAACUCAAAACUUCCCUUACUCUGAGACUCUGUGCUUGCUUAGUUGCUCAAUCAUGUCUGACUCUUUGCAACCCUUUGGACUGUAGCCCACCAGGUUCCUCUGUCCAGGGGUUCUCCAGGCAAGAAUACAGGAGUGGGUUGCCAUUUUCCUC